rnacentral:rRNA from 1 species
GUUAUAUGGUCAAGCGAAUAAGCGCACACGGUGGAUGCCUUGGCGGUCAGAGGCGAUGAAGGACGUGGCAGCCUGCGAAAAGUAUCGGGGAGCUGGCAACAAGCUUUGAUCCGGUAAUGUCCGAAUGGGGAAACCCACCCGCUUGCGGGUAUCCUGCAGUGAAUACAUAGCUGCUGGAAGCGAACCUGGUGAACUGAAAUAUCUAAGUAACCAGAGGAAAAGAAAUCAACCGAGAUUCCGUAAGUAGCGACGAGCGAACGCGGACUAGCCCUUAAGCUGAUUUGGUUCUAGGAAAACGCUCUGGAAAGAGCGGCCAUAGAAGGUGAUAGCCCUGUAUCUGAAAGGGCCAUUUCAGUGAAGACGAGUAGGGCGGGGCACGUGAAACCCUGUCUGAACAUGGGGGGACCAUCCUCCAAGGCUAAAUACUACUGACCGACCGAUAGUGAACCAGUACCGUGAGGGAAAGGCGAAAAGAACCCCGGAGAGGGGAGUGAAAUAGAACCUGAAACCGUGUGCGUACAAGCAGUAGGAGCUCCGCAAGGAGUGACUGCGUACCUUUUGUAUAAUGGGUCAGCGACUUACUGUUCGUGGCAAGCUUAACCGUAUAGGGGAGGCGAAGGGAAACCGAGUCUGAUAAGGGCGCAUAGUCGCGGGCAGUAGACCCGAAACCGGGUGAUCUAGUCAUGCCCAGGGUGAAGGUGCGGUAACACGCACUGGAGGCCCGAACCCACUCCCGUUGCAAAGGUAGGGGAUGAGGUGUGAUUAGGAGUGAAAAGCUAAUCGAACCCGGAGAUAGCUGGUUCUCCUCGAAAGCUAUUUAGGUAGCGCCUCAUAUGUAUCCUCUCGGGGGUAGAGCACUGUUAUGGCUAGGGGGUCAUCGCGACUUACCAAACCAUUGCAAACUCCGAAUACCGAGACGGACUGUAUGGGAGACACACGGCGGGUGCUAACGUCCGUCGUGAAAAGGGAAACAACCCAGACCCACAGCUAAGGUCCCAAAUUUUGUGCUAAGUGGAAAACCAUGUGGAAAGGCACAGACAGCCAGGAGGUUGGCUUAGAAGCAGCCACCCUUUAAAGAAAGCGUAAUAGCUCACUGGUCGAGUCGGUCUGCGGGGAAGAUUUAACGGGGCUAAGCACAGAACCGAAGCUUGGGGUGCAUACUUUGUAUGCGCGGUAGAGGAGCGUUCCGUAAGCCGUUGAAGGUGGAUUGAGAAGUCUGCUGGAGGUAUCGGAAGUGCGAAUGCUGACAUGAGUAACGAUAAUGCGGGUGAAAAACCCGCACGCCGAAAGCCCAAGGUUUCCUUGCGCAACGUUAAUCGGCGCAGGGUGAGUCGGCCCCUAAGGCGAGGACGAAAGUCGUAGUCGAUGGGAAGCAGGUUAAUAUUCCUGCACCUCGCGUAAGUGCGAUGGAGGGACGGAGAAGGUUAGGUGUACCAGGCGUUGGUUGUCCUGGGGAAAGGCGGUAGGUUUGGAUCUUUGGCAAAUCCGGGAUCCUUUAAGACCGAGCACCGAGACGAGCCUUUAAGGCGAAGUCACUGAUACCACGCUUCCAGGAAAAGCUCCUAAGCUUCAGCUUACGCAGACCGUACCGUAAACCGACACAGGUGGGUAGGAUGAGAAUUCUCAGGCGCUUGAGAGAACUCGGGUGAAGGAACUAGGCAACAUGGCACCGUAACUUCGGGAGAAGGUGCACCCUUUUUGGUGGCUCGUGCGAGCUAUAGCUGAAGAGGGUCGCAGUAACCAGGCCGCUGCGACUGUUUAUCAAAAACACAGCACUCUGCAAACACGAAAGUGGACGUAUAGGGUGUGACGCCUGCCCGGUGCUGGAAGGUUAAUUGAUGGGGUCAGCCGCAAGGCGAAGCUCUUGAUCGAAGCCCCAGUAAACGGCGGCCGUAACUAUAACGGUCCUAAGGUAGCGAAAUUCCUUGUCGGGUAAGUUCCGACCUGCACGAAUGGCGUAACGACAGCGGCGCUGUCUCCACCCGAGACUCAGUGAAAUUGAAAUCGCUGUGAAGAUGCAGCGUUCCCGUGGCAAGACGGAAAGACCCCGUGAACCUUUACUAUAGCUUUACACUGAACGUUGAGUUCGUCUGUGUAGGAUAGGUGGGAGGCUAUGAAACUGUGGCGCUAGCUGCAGCGGAGCCAUCCUUGAAAUACCACCCUGUCGUGCUUGACGUUCUAACCUGGGCCCAUUAUCUGGGUCGGGGACCGUGUAUGGUGGGUAGUUUGACUGGGGCGGUCUCCUCCUAAAGAGUAACGGAGGAGCUCGAAGGUACGCUCAGCGCGGUCGGACAUCGCGCACUGUGUGCAAAGGCAUAAGCGUGCUUGACUGCAAGAUCGACGGAUCAAGCAGGUAGGAAACUAGGACUUAGUGAUCCGGUGGUUCUGUAUGGAAGGGCCAUCGCUCAACGGAUAAAAGGUACUCCGGGGAUAACAGGCUGAUACCGCCCAAGAGUUCAUAUCGACGGCGGUGUUUGGCACCUCGAUGUCGGCUCAUCACAUCCUGGGGCUGUAGUCGGUCCCAAGGGUAUGGCUGUUCGCCAUUUAAAGUGGUACGCGAGCUGGGUUCAGAACGUCGUGAGACAGUUCGGUCCCUAUCUGCCAUGGGCGUUGGAGAUUUGAGAGGGGCUGCUCCUAGUACGAGAGGACCGGAGUGGACGAACCUCUGGUGUUCCGGUUGUCACGCCAGUGGCAUUGCCGGGUAGCUAUGUUCGGAAGCGAUAACCGCUGAAAGCAUCUAAGCGGGAAGCGCGCCUCAAGAUGAGAUCUCCCGGGGCACAAGCCCCCUGAAGGAACCAUGUAGACUACGUGGUUGAUAGGUCAGGUGUGUAAGUACAGCAAUGUAUUGAGCUAACUGAUACUAAUGAUCCGUGCGGCUUGACCAUAUAACCU